rnacentral:rRNA from 1 species
AUUGAACGCUGGCGGCAGGCCUAACACAUGCAAGUCGAGCGGAUGAAGGGUGCUUGCUCCUGGAUUCAUCGGCGGACGGGUGAGUAAUGCCUAGGAAUCUGCCUGGUAUUGGUGUAUAACGUCCGUUAACGGGCGCUAAUACCGCAUACGUCCUGGUGUAGAAAGUGGUGGAUCUUCGGACCUCUCGCUAUCAGAUUAGCCUAGGUCGUAUUAGCUAGUUGGUGGGGUAAAGGCCUACCAAGGCUACGAUCCGUAACUGGUAUGAGAGGAUGAUCAGUCACACUGGAACUGAGACACGGUCAAGACUCCUACGGGAGGCAGCAGUGGGGAAUAUUGGACAAUGGGCGAAAGCAUGAUACAGCAAAGCCGCGUGUGUGAAGAAGGUCUUCGGAUUGUAAAGCACUUUAAGUUGGGAGGAAGGGAAGUAAGUUAAUACCUUGAUGUUUUGACGUUACCAACAGAAUAAGCACCGGCUAACUUCGUG